GCAACCACACUGGGACUGAGACGCGGCCCAGACUCCUACGGGAGGCAGCAGUGGGGAAUUUUCCGCAAUGGGCGAAAGCCUGACGGAGCAACGCCGCGUGAGGGAGGAAGGCUCUUGGGUUGUAAACCUCUUUUCUCAAGGAAGAAGCAAGUGACGGUACUUGAGGAAUCAGCCUCGGCUAACUCCGUGCCAGCAGCCGCGGUAAUACGGAGGAGGCAAGCGUUAUCCGGAAUUAUUGGGCGUAAAGAGUCCGUAGGUGGCCAUUCAAGUCUGCUGUCAAAGCGUGGAGCUUAACUCCAUUCCGGCAGUGGAAACUGAGUAGCUAGAGUUCGGUAGGGGUAGCAGGAAUUCCCAGUGUAGCGGUGAAAUGCGUAGAGAUCGGGAAGAACAUCGGUGGCGAAAGCGCGCUACUGGGCCGAAACUGACACUGAGGGACGAAAGCUAGGGGAGCGAAAGGGAUUAGAUACCCCUGUAGUCCUAGCCGUAAACGAUGGAAACUAGGCGUGGCUUGUAUCGACCCGAGCCGUGCCGAAGCUAACGCGUUAAGUUUCCCGCCUGGGGAGUACGCACGCAAGUGUGAAACUCAAGGAAUUGACGGGGGCCCGCACAAGCGGUGGAGUAUGUGGUUUAUUCGAUGCAACGCGAAGAACCUUACCAGGGCUUGACAUGUCCAGAACUUUCCUGAAAGGGAAGGGUGCCUUCGGGGAGCUGGAACACAGGUGGGUGCAUGGCUGUCGUCAGCUCGUGUCGAUGAGAUGUUGGGUUAAGUCCCGCAACGAGCGCCACCCCUCGUUCUUAGUCGCCAU
rnacentral:rRNA from 1 species